AGCUUUAUAGUUGAUGUACAAUGUUUAACUGCAGAUUAAAAGGAGUUUUUUACUAGAGUUU
rnacentral:tRNA from 1 species